GUCUGACGCAGCAACGCCGCGUGAGGGAUGACGGCCUUCGGGUUGUAAACCUCUUUGUCAGGGACGAUGAUGACGGUACCUGGCGAAUAAGCCACGGCUAACUACGUGCCAGCAGCCGCGGUAAUACGUAGGUGGCAAGCGUUGUCCGGAUUUACUGGGCGUAAAGAGCGCGCAGGCGGUCGUUCAAGUCGCGUGUGAAAGCCCCCGGCUCAACUGGGGAGGGUCACGCGAUACUGAUCGACUCGAAGGCAGGAGAGGGAAGUGGAAUUCCCGGUGUAGUGGUGAAAUGCGUAGAUAUCGGGAGGAACACCAGUGGCGAAGGCGACUUCCUGGCCUGUUCUUGACGCUGAGGCGCGAAAGCUAGGGGAGCAAACGGGAUUAGAUACCCCGGUAGUCCUAGCCGUAAACGAUGGACACUAGGUGUUGGUGGUAUCAACCCCGCCAGUGCCGAAGCUAACGCAUUAAGUGUCCCGCCUGGGGAGUACGGCCGCAAGGCUA
rnacentral:rRNA from 1 species